rnacentral:tRNA from 1 species
GCCAGCAUGGUGUAGUGGUUUGAGUGUUUGACUAUGACUCUGGAGACCAGGGUUUGAUUUCCUGCUUGUCA